rnacentral:rRNA from 1 species
GGCCUACGGGAGGCAGCAGUGGGGGAUACUGCACAAUGGGGGGAACCCUGAUGCAGCGACGCCGCGUGGGCGAUGAAGUGCUUCGGCAUGUAAAGCCCUAUCAGCAGGGAAGAAAAUGACGGUACCUGACUAAGAAGCCCCGGCUAAAUACGUGCCAGCAGCCGCGGGAAUACGUAUGGGGCAAGCGUUAUCCGGAUUUACUGGGUGUAAAGGGAGCGUAGACGGCCUGGCAAGCCUGAUGUGAAAUACCGGGGCCCAACCCCGGGGCUGCAUUGGGAGCUGCCAGGCUGGAGUGCCGGGGAGGG